rnacentral:rRNA from 1 species
UACGGAAGGGGCAAGCGUUGUUCGGAAUCAUUGGGCGUAAAGGGCGCGUAGGUGGUUCUGUAUGUCUACUGUGAAAGCGUACAGCUCAACUGUAUUUUGUCGGUAGAAACUGCAGGACUUGAGGCUGGGAGGGGCUGGUGGAAUUCCCUGUGUAGCGGUGAAAUGCGUAGAGAUGGGGGAGAACACUCGUGGCGAAGGCGGCCAGCUAGACCAGUUCUGACACUGAGGCGCGACAGCGUGGGGAGCAAACAGG